UACGUAGGGUGCGAGCGUUGUCCGGAAUUAUUGGGCGUAAAGGGCUCGUAGGCGGUCUGUCACGUCGGGAGUGAAAACUCAGGGCUUAACCCUGAGCCUGCUUCCGAUACGGGCAGACUAGAGGUAUGCAGGGGAGAACGGAAUUCCUGGUGUAGCGGUGAAAUGCGCAGAUAUCAGGAGGAACACCGGUGGCGAAGGCGGUUCUCUGGGCAUUACCUGACGCUGAGGCACGAAGGCCAGGGGAGCAAACGGG
rnacentral:rRNA from 1 species